UAAUGUCCCAAACUCUUAUGGCAGCCUAUGUCCCAUCAUCUCCAUAUAUUUCCCUUUUCUUUUCUCCUUUAUUACCCUUCUUUCUUUUUCCCUCUUUCCUUUCAAACGCUGUUCCUCCAUUGUUUAGGGUUUCAUGUCCUCCACUCUUCUUCACCAUCCUCAUGCUGCCUCUUCCAGGUUUUUGAGACAGCCCAUGUCCGAAAAGGUGUGUAAUGAAGGAUAUAUUGCAUGAAGAAAUGGAGAGAGAGAGCUUCCCUCAGCCCACUCAUGGAAGGACUCAAAGGGGUUGCUGAACUAACUGCCGACUCAUUCACUCAAACACUCAGUACUAUUCUUUCCUCUCUACUGUGACUGCGUGAAUGAAGCGGGAGAUAUUUUGCUCUCUCUCUUUUUCUUUGCUUGGACUGAAGGGAGCUCCUCCUUUCUACUUCUCCAUAAAACUCUCAACCCAAUUCAACUCCCGCCUUCUUUGCCCUACCCGACCCCGAUGAGUUCGGACGAUUUUUUGGGAGGGUGGACUCACCUUGUUGGCCCUAGUCGACCCUGAUGAGUUCAAGACGAUUUUUGGGAAGGUGAAUUGAUCUUGUUAGCCCUAGUCGACCCUGAUAAGCUCGGGACGACUUUUGGGACAAUCAACUGACCUUAUUUGCCCUAGUCGACCCUGAUGAGCUCGGAACGACUUUUGGGAGGAUGAACUGACCUUGUUUCCCUAGACGACCCUGAUGAGCUCGAGACGACUUUUGAGACAAUCAACAGACCUUGUUUACCCUAGUCGAGCCUGAUGAGUUCAAGACGACUUUUGGGACAAUCAACUGACCUUGUUUAUCCUAGUCGACCCUGAUGAGUUCAAGACGACUUUUGGGACAAUCAACCGACCUUGUUUGCCCUAGUCGACCCUGAUGAGUUCAAGACGACCUUUGGGACAAUCAACUGACCUUGUUUGCCCUAGUCGACCCUGAUGAGUUCAAGACGACCUUUGGGACAAUCAACUGACCUUGUUUGCCCUAGUCGACCCCGAUGAGUUCGAGACGACUUUAGGGAGGACGAAUUAAUCUUGUUUGCCCUGGACAUUGAAAUAUUCUAGAUCAAGAAAAGAAAUUAUUUAAUAAUCGUAUGAGUUAGAAGAAGUCUCUAAGAUCUGAUCCAAUUGAUGAUGAACAAUGUCCACAAAUGUAGAGGCAAGGCUUUCACAGCUAUCAGCAAACCCUGUCCCCAAAAAGGUAACUUUUUGGUACCCAUCUCUUACCCUUCACUUUGAUAACUAGUUGGCUCGACUCCGUUCGGUUCGAUUCGGUUCUGUUUUCAUUAGAACCUUGUUUAUAUGCUCCCUUUGUUGAAGUAAAUGGCUAGAAAAGUUAGGCCUCUGAAAUGAUUGCACCAAAAAAACAACAAAAUCAAGGCAUGCAAAGGUUAAAAUUAUGCAAUUUCAACACAAUUUGGUAAAAAACAAA